rnacentral:rRNA from 1 species
UACAGAGGUCCCAAGCGUUGUUCGGAUUCACUGGGCGUAAAGGGUGCGCAGGUGGGUUUGCAAGUUCGUUGUGAAAGCCCCGGGCUCAACCUGGGGAUGGCAAUGGAAACUGGCGGGCUUGAGUAUGGCAGAGGGGGGUGGAAUUCCGCGUGUAGCAGUGAAAUGCGUAGAGAUGCGGAGGAACACCGAUGGCGAAGGCAGCCCCCUGGGCCAAUACUGACGCUCAGGCACGAAAGCGUGGGGAGCAAACAGG